rnacentral:rRNA from 1 species
AGGGCACCACCAGGAGUGGAGCCUGCGGCUUAAUUUGACUCAACACGGGAAAACUCACCCGGCCCGGACACUGGAAGGACUGACAGAUUGAGAGCUCUUUCUUGAUUCAGUGGGUGGUGGUGCAUGGCCGUUCUUAGUUGGUGGAGCGAUUUGUCUGGUUAAUUCCGAUAACGAACGAGACUCUAGCCUACUAAAUAGACUGCUCAGCUUUAUAGCUAGAUCAGUGGGCAGGUUGACUUCGGUUGGCUUGUUCACCUCUGGUGACGCUGGCAGUGCUUCUUAGAGGGACAGGCGGCGGUUCAGCCGCACGAAACAGAGCAAUAACAGGUCUGUGAUGCCCUUAGAUGUCCGGGGCCGCACGCGCGCUACACUGAAGUGAUCAGCGUGCAUGUAUAUUAUGCUGCUCCGUCAGGAGUGGCUGACCCGUUGAACCUUCUUCGUGAUUGGGAUAGGAGAUUGUAAUUAUUCUCCUUGAACGAGGAAUUCCCAGUAAGCGCAUGUCAUAAGCAUGCGUUGAUU